rnacentral:lncRNA from 1 species
CGUCUCUCGCGCCCCCUCCCCUCUCCUCUCUUCCUUCUUGGUAGGAGGGCGGGAGCCCUGCGUCACGCUGGCGCCGUGUCCCCGCCCACAAUGGCGAGGUGGGGCGGGGCCCAGGGGGGCGGGCUUAGAAGACGGGAAGGGGUGUGGCUGGGGGAGGGGGCGGAGACAGAGGGAGGAGCGGGGAGGAGCUGAAGCAGACGCUAGCGGGGAGAGUGCGUCAUGACGUCAUGGAAAAGAGUCUUUAUAUACAGGUGCCUGGACGCCAUCUCGGUCUUUCGAGGCUGGGAGUGAGUGGCUGGUAUGUUUGUGCUUUUGCAGUUGCUGAAUGGGUUCUUGGUUCUAGGCCUCCAGGCCUUGGCUGUCAAAGGCACCUUCAAGUGGCUGGCAUUUCUAGUCCAGUUGCAAGCCUUUGCAGGACUCACAGACGACGAUGGUGGAAGAUUGCGCGUUGGGUGGUGGCGCGACCUAAACUACUGCAGUGGUGAUUAGGGCUGAACUGCGGGAAUAUCUCGGCUCGCGUGUCCUGCCUCUGAUGAAGCCUGUGUUGGAAUGGUGCGAGGCACGAAUACAAUGUGGCUUUUGAUGGCACCAGAUGGACAGGUCUUUGCCAGAGGGCUGAGAACAGCUGCUGGGGUCCUAAAGGGCAAGCUUCACACACAAGCUGUGGGCAAACAGGUGGACUUGAGCUUUGACAUGUCUGGAUUGAGAGUUUGGUUUUUUUGCGACUGGGUACUACACAAGUUUUUAUUCGCGGACGGCUUGCUUAGGGUGCAGAUGUUGGUCACCUUUUAUGUAAAGGUAUGUAUUUUAUUAAUCUUACAUAGUUACUAA